AUUGAACGCUGGCGGCAUGCCUUACACAUGCAAGUCGAACGGCAGCACGGGAGCAAUCCUGGUGGCGAGUGGCGAACGGGUGAGUAAUAUAUCGGAACGUGCCCAGUCGUGGGGGAUAACGUAGCGAAAGCUACGCUAAUACCGCAUACGAUCUAUGGAUGAAAGCGGGGGAUCGCAAGACCUCGCGCGAUUGGAGUGGCCGAUAUCAGAUUAGGUAGUUGGUGGGGUAAAAGCCUACCAAGCCUUCGAUCUGUAGCUGGUCUGAGAGGACGACCAGCCACACUGGAACUGAGACACGGUCCAGACUCCUACGGGAGGCAGCAGUGGGGAAUUUUGGACAAUGGGCGCAAGCCUGAUCCAGCAAUGCCGCGUGCAGGAUGAAGGCCUUCGGGUUGUAAACUG
rnacentral:rRNA from 1 species